rnacentral:rRNA from 1 species
UGCGUAGGCGGGCUAAUAAGUCAGUGGUGAAAUCUUCCGGCUCAACCGGGAACCUGCCGUUGAUACUGUUAGUCUUGAGUUCGGUUGAGGUAGGCGGAAUGUGUAAUGUAGCGGUGAAAUGCUUAGAUAUUACACAGAACACCAAUUGCGUAGGCAGCUUACUAGACCGACACUGACGCUGAGGCACGAAAGCGUGGGGAGCGAACAGGAUUAGAUACCCUGGUAGUCC